AGAGUUUGAUCAUGGCUCAGGACGAACGCUGGCGGCGUGCUUAACACAUGCAAGUCGCGCGGUUCUCGAAGUUCGGGGUUGGGAGUUCGAACCUCGAACUUCGAACCUCGAACUUCGAGAAUAGCGGCGGACGGGUGAGUAACACGUGGAUAACCUACCCAUUAGACCGGGAUAACACCGGGAAACUGGUGCUAAUACCGGAUAAGCUCUUUAGAGUAAAAGCCUUAAAGAGGAAAGGGGAAACUCACUAAUGGAUGGGUCCGCGUCCUAUUAGCUAGUUGGUAGGGUAACGGCCUACCAAGGCGACGAUGGGUAGCCGGCCUGAGAGGGUGACCGGCCACACUGGGACUGAGACACGGCCCAGACUCCUACGGGAGGCAGCAGUGGGGAAUAUUCCGCAAUGGGGGAAACCCUGACGGAGCAAUGCCGCGUGAGUGAAGAAGGCCUUUGGGUCGUAAAACUCUGUCUUGAGGGACGAAAAAAAUGACGGUACCUCAAAAGAAAGCCCCGGCUAACUACGUGCCAGCAGCCGCGGUAAAACGUAGGGGGCGAGCGUUGUCCGGAAUUACUGGGCGUAAAGGGCGUGUAGGCGGCCUGUGUAGUCAAGUGGUGAAAACCCGGGGCUUAACUUCGGGAUGGCCCUUGAAACCAACAGGCUUGAGGACAGGAGAGGGGAGUGGAAUUUCCGGUGUAGCGGUGAAAUGCGUAGAUACCGGAAGGAACACCAGUGGCGAAGGCGGCUCCCUGGACUGGUCCUGACGCUGAGCGCGAAAGCGUGGGGAGCAAACAGGAUUAGAUACCCUGGUAGUCCACGCCGUAAACGAUGGGUGCU
rnacentral:rRNA from 1 species